rnacentral:rRNA from 1 species
AAGUUAGCGGCGGACGGGUGAGUAACACGUGGGUAACCUGCCCAUAAGACUGGGAUAACUCCGGGAAACCGGGGCUAAUACCGGAUAACAUUUUGAACCGCAUGGUUCGAAAUUGAAAGGCGGCUUCGGCUGUCACUUAUGGAUGGACCCGCGUCGCAUUAGCUAGUUGGUGAGGUAACGGCUCACCAAGGCAACGAUGCGUAGCCGAC